CAGGCUUAACACAUGCAAGUCGAGGGGAAACGAUAGAGAAAGCUUGCUUUUUCUAGGCGUCGACCGGCGCACGGGUGAGUAACGCGUAUCCAACCUGCCCACCACUUGGGGAUAACCUUGCGAAAGUAAGACUAAUACCCAAUGAUAUCUCUAGAAGACAUCUGAAGGAGAUUAAAGAUUCAUCGGUGAUGGAUGGGGAUGCGUCUGAUUAGCUUGUUGGCGGGGUAACGGCCCACCAAGGCUACGAUCAGUAGGGGUUCUGAGAGGAAGGUCCCCCACAUUGGAACUGAGACACGGCCCAAACUCCUACGGGAGGCAGCAGUGAGGAAUAUUGGUCAAUGGGCGAGAGCCUGAACCAGCCAAGUAGCGUGCAGGAUGACGGCCCUAUGGGUUGUAAACUGCUUUUAUAAGGGAAUAAAGUGAGCCUCGUGAGGCUUUUUGCAUGUACCUUAUGAAUAAGGACCGGCUAAUUCCGUGCCAGCAGCCGCGGUAAUACGGAAGGUCCGGGCGCUAUCCGGAUUUAUUGGGUUUAAAGGGAGCGUAGGCCGGAGAUUAAGCGUAUUGUGAAAUGUAGAUGCUCAACAUCUGCACUGCAGCGCGAGCUGGUUUCCUUGAGUACGCACAAAGUGGGCGGAAUUCGUGGUGUAGCGGUGAAAUGCUUAGAUAUCACGAAGAACUCCGAUCGCGAAGGCAGCUCACUGGAGCGCAACUGACGCUGAAGCUCGAAAGUGCGGGUAUCGAACAGGAUUAGAUACCCUGGUAGUCCGCACGGUAAACGAUGGAUGCCCGCCGUUGGUCUGAAUAGGUCAGCGGCCAAGCGAAAGCAUUAAGCAUCCCACCUGGGGAGUACGCCGGCAACGGUGCAACUCAAAUGAGUUGACGGA
rnacentral:rRNA from 1 species